AGAAACCAACAGGGAUUACCUCAGUAACGGCGAGUGAAGCGGUAACAGCUCAAAUUUGAAAGCUAGCUCUUUUAGGGUUCGCAUUGUAAUUUGUAGAAGAUGCUUCGGGUGUGGCCCCGGUCUAAGUUCCUUGGAACAGGACGUCAUAGAGGGUGAGAAUCCCGUAUGUGACUGGGUGCUUUCGCUCAUGUGAAGCUCUUUCGACGAGUCGAGUUGUUUGGGAAUGCAGCUCAAAAUGGGUGGUAAAUUUCAUCUAAAGCUAAAUAUUGGCCAGAGACCGAUAGCGCACAAGUAGAGUGAUCGAAAGAUGAAAAGCACUUUGGAAAGAGAGUUAAACAGUACGUGAAAUUGUUGAAAGGGAAGCGCUUGCAACCAGACUUGCGCGCUGAUGAUCAUCCGGGCUUCUGCCCGGUGCACUCGUCUGCGCUCAGGCCAGCAUCGGUUUCGGUGGUGGGAUAAAGGCCUUGGGAAUGUAGCUCCUCUCGGGGAGUGUUAUAGCCCUCGGUGCAAUGCCGCCUACCGGGACCGAGGACCGCGCUUCGGCUAGGAUGCUGGCGUAAUGGUUGUAAGCGACC
rnacentral:rRNA from 1 species